GGGGAAUAUUGCACAAUGGGCGCAAGCCUGAUGCAGCAACGCCGCGUGAGGGAUGACGGCCUUCGGGUUGUAAACCUCUUUUAGUAGGGAAGAAGCGAAAGUGACGGUACCUGCAGAAAAAGCACCGGCUAACUACGUGCCAGCAGCCGCGGUAAUACGUAGGGUGCAAGCGUUAUCCGGAAUCAUUGGGCGUAAAGAGCUCGUAGGCGGUUUGUCGCGUCUGCUGUGAAAACCCGAGGCUCAACCUCGGGCCUGCAGUGGGUACGGGCAGACUAGAGUGCGGUAGGGGAGAAUGGAAUUCCUGGUGUAGCGGUGGAAUGCGCAGAUAUCAGGAGGAACACCGAUGGCGAAGGCAGUUCUCUGGGCCGUAACUGACGCUGAGGAGCGAAAGCAUGGGGAGCGAAC
rnacentral:rRNA from 1 species